CUUUUCUUGUAUAAAUAUGAAGUAUGACCUGCCCACUGAUAAUUUAAAUGGCCGCGGUAUUUUGACCGUGCAAAGGUAGCAUAAUCAUUAGUCUUUUAAUUGGAGGCUGGAAUGAAUGGUUAGACGAAAUAAAUACUUUCUUAUUAUUAAUUUAUUUGAAUUUAAUUUUUGAGUUAAAAAGCUUAAAUUUUUUUUUGGGACGAGAAGACCCUAUAGAGUUUAUAUAGUUAUAUAUGAUUGAAAGUGUUUGAUAUAGUUGCAAUUUAAGUAAGUAUUUUAUUGGGGUGAUGGGAAGAUAAUUAUAACUCUUUUUAUUGAAAUAUAUUUAUUUAUAUGGUUUUGAUCCAGUAUUAUUGAUUAUAAGACUAAAUUACC
rnacentral:rRNA from 1 species